rnacentral:lncRNA from 1 species
GCACCGGCUGCCUCAUGGUUCUCAGCCACAGAGUUCUAGAAAACGUUCCACACUCUGGAGCCCCAUUGUCAGCCCCAGGCCCAGCCCCAGGGGUGCUCCCGGUGCUGCCUGCAGGGCCACAGGCUCCUAGGGGAAAGUGCACCCACAGUCACUCGCAGAUGGCCAUUUUCCAGGGACACACUUUCAACUGAGCAUUGAAAGACAAACAGCGCUCGAGUGGAUUAGGCCGCAGUGGUUGAGAAGCUCAAGUAACGAAUCCAGAAAACUCUGGAGAGCCCUUCAGAGCAUACACACCACGUCUACUUCUCAGCGCCUCUGGAGCGAGUCCCGUUGCCAGGAGAACUUCUUUCUUGUUCUUGGAAUAGAUGCUGCGCAGAAGAACCUUUCUGGAGGCCAGGGCCACAUCAUGGAAGAUUGUGACCUCAAAGAGCCUGAAGGACUCCUCACUGUCAGCAGCUUCUGUCUCCAGCAUUGCAAAGCCCUGAUCCAGACCAAGCUCUCGGGGCCGCCUGGCAGCAAACAGGGGAGGCUGAUGACAUGCAGCCGCUUCCUGAAGACCCCCUCAUGCGGAGGUGGCCAGCACAUCACUAUUCCAAGGAAAAGGAUGUUCACUCCACGCAAGCUCAAAUUGACACUCUUUAAUAGCGACGUUUGCUAAAAUCAGGAGGACUUUGUACCUUUAUGAGGAAUUUUUCAUUUUCUUCCUGGCUGGAUUGAUGUGGAAACCAGAGCUGUCUGUGGAGCUGUUUUCCAGACCCCAGGCCCAUUCCUGGGAUCUCUCCAACAGGACCUGUCCUGUGUUCUGGGCUCGUCUCGGGUCUGACCAGGAGAUGGAGGAUGUGUCCUUGGCAGAGCCAAGGGGAGACAGAGGUUUCUGGGUGCCAUGACAGGCUGUCGGGGUCCAGGUGGCACCCAUGGGCCCCCUGCCCCAUGUGAAUGCUGCUGGCACCUGGUGGGGGUUGCUCAGGGAUGGACCCUGGGCAUGGCUUCUGGGCUGCUUAGUCCAGGGGGAGCAACUUGUGGCCAAAUCCAUGAGUUCAGAGGAAAAGGGGAAGGCACUGAAACGUCACCAGAGAGACAGCUGUUGAGACCGCUCAGAAACCGUCUGUCUGUCACACUGUGUCCUGGCUGCUGUGUGGUCAGGGCACCAUGAGGGUGUACAGAUGUGCUGUGUCCUCAAAGCCUCGCAGGUGCCCUCACUUAUUGCCUGGGCCCCUGCCCAGCAGCCUCAAGGACAGGCCUUUCUCCCUCACGGUUGUGGACAGGAGGUCGCACCACUGGCCUGCGAGAGCCUCUGGUGGGCCCGUGGCUUCCCCCAGUUAUCUGCCAAGGAAAACUGUGCUCUUUGAAGGGCAGAGCCAAGAAGUCAGCCCUGACUUUUGUAAAAUUUUAUUAAAUAAAACCACCUGGAU